GACGAACGCUGGCGGCGUGCUUAACACAUGCAAGUCGAACGGAAAGGCCCUGCUUUUGUGGGGUGCUCGAGUGGCGAACGGGUGAGUAACACGUGAGUAACCUGCCCUUGACUUUGGGAUAACUUCAGGAAACUGGGGCUAAUACCGGAUAGGAGCUCCUGCUGCAUGGUGGGGGUUGGAAAGUUUCGGCGGUUGGGGAUGGACUCGCGGCUUAUCAGCUUGUUGGUGGGGUAGUGGCUUACCAAGGCUUUGACGGGUAGCCGGCCUGAGAGGGUGACCGGCCACAUUGGGACUGAGGUACGGCCCAGACUCGUACGGGAGGCAGCGGUGGGGAAUAUUGCACAAUGGGCGGAAGCCUGAGACGGCGACGCCGCGUGCGGAAUGACGGCCUUCGGGUUGUAAACCGCUUUCGCCUGUGACGAAGCGUGAGUGACGGUAAUGGGUAAAGAAGCACCGGCUAACUACGUG
rnacentral:rRNA from 1 species